rnacentral:rRNA from 1 species
UAGGGAAUCUUGCGCAAUGGGCGAAAGCCUGACGCAGCCAUGCCGCGUGAAUGAUGAAGGUCUUAGGAUUGUAAAAUUCUUUCAGCGGGGACGAUAAUGACGGUACCCGCAGAAGAAGCCCCGGCUAACUUCGUGCCAGCAGCCGCGGUAAUACGAAGGGGGCUAGCGUUGCUCGGAAUUACUGGGCGUAAAGGGCGCGUAGGCGGAUGUCUUAGUCAGAGGUGAAAGCCCAGGGCUCAACCUUGGAACUGCCUUUGAUACUGGACAUCUUGAGUACGGGAGAGGUGAGUGGAACUCCGAGUGUAGAGGUGAAAUUCGUAGAUAUUCGGAAGAACACCAGUGGCGAAGGCGACUCACUGGCCCGUUACUGACGCUGAGGCGCGAAAGCGUGGGGAGCAAAC